rfam:Epulopiscium sp. AS2M-Bin001 AS2M_MBin01_98, whole genome shotgun sequence.
AAUAACUAAUAAUUCAAUUAGUCAAAUGAUGGAGUAACGUCCUGAAGGGCUAACUAUGAUACCCCGAAUAGCAUGGAAAUCAGUAACAAUUGAAGUGUUAUAAGCUCGGUAAGGUCGGCUGAGAUUUAUCCCUAGUAUUAUUAUAUAUAAUAAUAAGGAAAUGCGAACUAGAGGUAGUCGAGAUAAAGAUAGGUCGGUAGUCUAUAAA